AUGGGGGAAACCCCGACGAGGGAAAGCCAAGUGCCAGCACAAUGUGCUGGCUGUUUUCCUGUCUAAAAAACAGGGAGAGUAAGGGCUGGGUACGACGGGUGCCAGCCGCCGCGGUAAUACCUGCAGCCCGAGUGGUGCUCGUUAUUAUUGGGUCUAAAUCGUCCGUAGUCGGCUAAGUAGAUGCCCGGGUAAAUCGCAGCGCUCAACGUUGCGAAUUCCGGGUAGACCGCUUGGCUAGGGAUUGGGAGAGGUGCAAAGUACUUCGAGGGUAGGGGUAAAAUCCUGUAAUCCUCGGGGGACUACCAGUGGCGAAGGCGUUGCACUAGAACAAGUCCGACGAUCAGGGACGAAGCCCUGGGGCGCAAACGGGAUUAGAUACCCCCGUAGUCC
rnacentral:rRNA from 1 species